UACGUAGGGGGGCAAGCGUUGUCCGGAAUCAUUGGGCGUAAAGCGCGUGUAGGCGGCUCGAUAAGUCUGCUGUGAAAGUCCAGGGCUCAACCCUGGGAUGCCGGUGGAUACUGUCGAGCUCGAGUCCGGAAGAGGCGAGUGGAAUUCCUGGUGUAGCGGUGAAAUGCGCAGAUAUCAGGAGGAACACCAAUGGCGAAGGCAGCUCGCUGGGACGUGACUGACGCUGAGACGCGAAAGCGUGGGGGAGCAAACAGG
rnacentral:rRNA from 1 species